GGGGAAAUAGUGUAGGGGUUAUCGCGUCCGCUUUGCAUUCUCUCGCCUGCUUGCGGAAGGUCCGGGGUUCAAUUCCCCGUUUCUCCA